rnacentral:rRNA from 1 species
UGCGCAGGCGGUUGGGUGUGUCAGAUGUGAAAUCCCGAGGCUCAACCUCGGAACUGCGUCUGAAACUACUCGACUAGAGUACUGGAGAGGGUAACGGAAUUCACGGUGUAGCAGUGAAAUGCGUAGAUAUCGUGAGGAACACCAGAGGCGAAGGCGGUUACCUGGACAGUUACUGACGCUCAGGCACGAAAAGCGAUGGGGAGCAAACA